UCCCAGGUGGCUAAGUGGUAAAGAAUCUGCCUGCAAAUGCAGGAGAUUCAGGUUUGAGCCCUGGGUUGGGAA
rnacentral:tRNA from 1 species